GCGUCACACUCCAUUAGAGGGGCUUCAUUUGGGUAUCUGGUGACCAAAAAUCUGGUGAAGGGAUACUUUUAAUUCAAUAGCAAUUUGUCCAAAUUACCCUUCAAUUAAAAUUAAAACAAAAACAGAAUAAAAACCUAAUAUCUUCACACUUUCUUCUUCUUCACAGUAAAUUUUCACAUCAUUUCAUUUCAUCAUUUUCGAUUAAUUGGGCGAUCCGAAAAAUUGAAUCUCGUAGGAUUGAAAUCUGUAUGAAAAAUGAGGAAGAAACAAACUGAUUGCAGUGAUGGUAAUCAAAAUCUCAAUCAACCCCCUGACCAACAACUUUAUCCUCAACAACCACCGAUUGAAGCAAUUGAUUUUUCGGAAUUUCGAACUCCUCAACAACAAUCCAUGGUGUAUAUAAGGUCGACUUACAGUAAUUUAGUCAUGGAUAGCCUAAUGGAUAUAAUCCACUAUUAUUGAAACUUAAUCUUCUACAAACGUAAUUACAAACGUCUAGGUGGAGAAGAAGCUUUUAAUUCAGAGAUGUUGGAAGAAGAACUGGGGGUGUCUGUGCAAUUGGCUAAUGGAAAUGAAGAUGAAGUAUUGAGUAAAGAUGUGCAGAAUGCAAUUGAACAGGUUAUGAAUGGCAAUAAUGGAGAAGAAAUGAGGAAGAGGGCAACGGUGAUUGCGGAGAAAAUUAAUGCUGCAAUGAAGAUGGUCAUCACGAAGGGUCUACUAUUAGAUCAAUUGAUGAUUUCCUUGCAUCUGUAACUUCUAAAUGAUUUUGUAUUGGUUGAAUAGAGUCGACAUGCCAAGAACAUAAAAAGAGGAUAAUAGUUUUGUUUUUAAUGUAAACAGACCCUUUGUCUU